rnacentral:rRNA from 1 species
UACGUAGGGUGCAAGCGUUGUCCGGAAUUAUUGGGCGUAAAGAGCUCGUAGGCGGCUUGUCGCGUCGGCUGUGAAAACCUGGGGCUCAACCCCGGGUCUGCAUUCGAUACGGGCAGACUAGAGUUCGGUAGGGGAGUCUGGAAUUCCUGGUGUAGCGGUGAAAUGACGCAGAUAUCAGGAGGAACACCGGUGGCGAAGGCGGGACUCUGGGCCGAUACUGACGCUGAGGAGCGAAAGCGUGGGGAGCGAACAGG